rnacentral:lncRNA from 1 species
GAUGCGCAUUGCAUACACUGCUCGCAAUGUCUGAACACUACUCUGACUGCAGGACACAAGUUCGGAGGAUGCUGCAGGGCCCUCCCGCAGUGCACCAGCAACAACUGCGUUUGUGGUGUCGGGCCCUGCAGCUGUUGCUGGGCCAAGUGGCCUUACACAGCAACCGCCUACCCUCCAGCAGCCUACCCUCCAGCAGCCACCCUCCCAGCCGACCCCCCAGCCUACCCCACGAGAGCCGCAGGCACCCCCCCCCCCCCCCCCCCCCCCCCGUAGGCAGUCGAGGCAGCAGGUCCUCGAGGGCGCCGUCCAGAUGGCUACUGCCGAAUACGUUCGGCAGGGCUAGUCGGCGGAAGCCAGGGCGCAGGAGGAGGCCCGCUUCCGCCGACAAAUGCUGGAGCAAAACAAGCGGGUAUGUGUAAGGCCACAGACGUAUAUUUUUCUGCGUAUGAAAUUGACGAGCAUAUGACCUCUCCAAAAAUUAAUCAGUAAAAAAGCAUAAUGUAUGCAUACAGUGCUGUGGUGAUCAUAUCUUGUAUACAUUUGCGUGAAAUAAUAUGUGUCAAUAUCUACGCAAUUAUGUGGCAAAAAGAAAGAAGUGGCAUUAAGUUCAGGGAAGCAGGUAUAACCAUGUAAGACAUCUUAAUGGAAUGGGACUGUACAAAUUUGAUGGGCCAGAAAGAUAUAUUCAGUGUUUCAAUAUACAGUGACAAUAGCCUGCAAAUGCGGAUAAAUGCAACACACCAAGGCCUUGUUACUGAGCUUCUAUAAUUAAACUAAUUACACAUCUUAUUCGCUAACAGCACCACGAGGCCCAUAUGGACGUCCUGCGCCAGCAGCAUAGCAUUCAUAUGGAGGUCCUGCGGUAGCAACAUGCUGUCCACAUGGAGGGACUACAACAGCUGAGGGAGGAGGUCGGCAGCAUGCGCGACGUUCAGCAGCAGCGGCUGGCAGUGGAACGGCGCUCACAGGAGACGAACCAGCGUCUCCUGUAGCUGCUGCUGGCUGCACCAGCCCAUGGUGGCGGCCAAGUCCCUCCCCCCUCUCAGGACCCACAUAUUUAAAUAAGUGAGGUACUAGCAUAGGCAAGGAAUUUUACACCAUUUUUUUAUUAGCUUAAAUUUUGCUGUUGUAAUGAUGAUAUGAAGGCCGGAUAUUGCUAGUUUGCAAGAAAUAAUUGCUCAAGUCACCCUUUCAUGCAACCACAAGUAGCAUAGCUGUUGCAGCAUGAUUCUUUUUUGCUUGAAGUUGUACUUCAGUAAUAAGAGCCUCCACACUAUCACGCUCACCUGCAGAAGUGCCAGCAAGCCUGGUGGUACAUUAGUCUGACUGCGGCAUUGCAAUUAUCAGGUGCCUAGUUGUUGUCAUGUCAAGUUGAGCACGAAGCAACACUGCAAAUGUUCUACAAUUUAAUCCUGUGUCAUCAAAUGGUGACAGUUUCGCGCCUUAAUGUAAUGUCGAACGGAACCUCUGAAUAUGCGCAGCAAAAAGAAAAAGUUAUGAAAAUUCCUUGCCUAUGCGCCUUCACCUCAUUUGUAAUGUGUUUUUUUUUGCAUAUUUAUGUACAUAUUAUACAUGCUUUUUUUGGUAUACAGGGCUGGAAUGCCUUCUUUUCUUGUUUUUUGCUAUAACAUUUUGUUUCCAUUUACUUAUCUUUCAUGGUCGAUAUUUUUUUUUGUCGUGACAUACAAGGCUUAAUAUCUUCUUUUCUUGUUUUUUAUUACCACGUUUUGUUGUCAUUCAGUGUUCUUUCAUGGUUGUGAUACAUUGUACGUUUACCCCUCAUGUGCAAUAUUUAUGCAGUUUCCCUUAUUCAAUAUCAAAGCUAGAUGUUAUGGCUUUCUUUUCCAGUAUGGAACUCCACGACAGUAUGUUCCUUUCAGAUGUAGUGAUGUACCAACACAUUUCGCAGUGAUAAAUAUUCUUCUGUUGAUGCGUGAUUUAAGCACCUGCACCUUUUUUUCUGGUGCAUUUUAAGCCAGUUGAUAUUUCUGCAUAUUUGUGCAGCGUACAACACUUUCCUUAAACGAUACCUGCCGUUACCUGUGAUAUUUUAUGAUGCAGUUACCUGUGAAUCUUUCAGAUGCAAGAACAAUAUGAUGCAAUAUUUAUUGCAACUUGUCUGUGAUAUGUUGCAUACGUCUCUACUGCUGCAGUACUCACUAUUCUCGCACUUAUUCAAUGUAGAGACUGUCGCACGUGAUGUGUACAUAAACAAGUGUUACCAUAAAAAUGUCUCUAUGUUGAAGGGUGAAAUAAUACAGAAAGGUGCAGUGUUC